UAACCUCAAAAAUGUCAAUCAAUCUAACAAACCAAAAAAGGAACACUGAUUACAUCAUAAUAUAGAGCACCCAUGAUGAAGACUGAGACUCAGAUGAGGCAGCACACAAGCCUUCCCUGCAUUCUGUGGUCCAUAUUGUAGGAAACAAUCCUCUCCUGCCACCACGACUGCCCCUUCCUGCAUGCGAUCCAUUAGAUAUCAGCUAACAAAGACUGUGUUAAAGGAAACUUGAAGCCAAUGUACAAGCAAAGAGGAUUUUCAAAAAAUAGCAAGGGCCUUAAAACAAGAAAACACCAACACCAAAGGAAAUGGAAGAAAACUUGUUGUGAUGCUGAUUUAGCAUUCUAAGCCCUAUGAACACAAAGACUGCAAGCACAGUUUGCUUAUCAAUUCAGCUACUGAUGGACAGCUUGGUUGACUCCAAGUUCUGGCAAUUAUGAAAAAGGCUGCUAUAGACGUGCAGGUUUUGUACAGCCAAAAUUUUCAAUUUAUUUGAGUAUUUCUCAAGAAGCACAAUGGCUGGAUCACAUGGCCCAAAGUGACCACACAGUUCUGCAUUCUCAUCAGCAAUAAAUGCCCACAGGAAUCGCUGAAACUUCACCAAUCAAACAUGAAAACUAUUUUGGAGGAGAGUAUAAGACAUACCCAAUUUGGAGGGUAUGGGUGACAUUCAACUCAACUGUUCAGGAACAGUCUAGGAUGACAGGUUCCAAGGUGCAAAACUCAAUAUUCCAAAGGGUGCAAUCUCUGAGCUUUGUGAGCAAGAAUUCAGACAUGAAUAUGCCACCUAAUGAGGAAUAUUAAAAAGCAGGUCUUCAGUUUUGAAAACACGAAUCUACAAAGCUUUAAGGGAAGACUUCUUCCUGACUAAUCAGUUACAGCUCUCAACUGUUUGGCCCCUAUUCCUCCAACAGAGAUGUUAUAAAGUACCAUUGAAAUUAAAGAUUCACAGAAACACAUACCAAAUACAGUUGUCUCAACUGUAUUUGUUUUACUCAUACACUCAGAAAAUGAUUGAUUUUUUUUUCUAGCAAGGCAUAUGGCAAUAAUGACCAGCUUCCCUAUUUGUCU
rnacentral:lncRNA from 13 species